GAUCCGCUAGCUCAGUUGGCAGAGCACCUGACUUUUAAUCAGGGUGUCCGGGGUUCGAAUCCCCGGCGGAUCACCA
rnacentral:tRNA from 1 species